rnacentral:tRNA from 1 species
GCCGAUGUAGCUCAGUUGGUAGAGCAUCACUUUCGUAAAGUGAGGGUCGACAGUUCAAUCCUGUCCAUCGGCUCCA